rnacentral:rRNA from 1 species
GGAACGUGCCCAGUAAUGGGGGAUAGCCCGGCGAAAGCCGGAUUAAUACCGCAUACGACCUACGGGUGAAAGCGGKGGAUCGCAAGACCUCGCGUUAUUGGAGCGGCCGAUAUCAGAUUAGCUUGUUGGCGGGGUAAAAGCCCACCAAGGCGACGAUCUGUAGCUGGUCUGAGUAGGACGACCAGCCACACUGGGACUGAUACACGGCCCAUACUCCUACGGGAGGCAGCAGUGGGGAAUUUUGGACAAUGGGCGCAAGCCUGAUCCAGCCRUGCCGCGUGUGGGAAGAANGCCUUCGGGUUGKAAACNACUUUUGUCACGGAAGAAACGGCUCUUACUAAUAUUAGGAGCUAAUGACGGUACCUGGAAUAAUAAGCACCGGCUAACUACGUGCCAGCAGCCGCGGUDAAUACRUAGGGUGCAAGCGUWAAUCCGGAAUUACCUG